AAUCAGUCAGUAAUCCAACUGCGUGUGCUCGCUUCAUACCUGUCAUUGUUGCUGCCCAGUCCACCAACCUUUUAUCUCCAUCCACAGUGGACAAACUACACCAACGAUCUAUGGCUGGUGACAUAAAGAUGGGAUGAGAACCAACAACAUGAGCACCUGAAGUCUCACUCUUGGCCAGCUACACAAACCCCUCGCUGUGACUUGCAAAGAAAAGUAGAAAACAUAUCGACAAUCACCGUCAUGUUUUAAAGGACUGAAGAAAAGAAGAGUGUGCAACGAGAACAUGAGGCUGAAAAACUGCAGGCAUGAAAUAUAGAGAGGGAACAAAGGGAGAGAGGACCGGCUGAAAUCUGGCA